AAGUUGUACUCGAGGAGAUUUACAAGAAAAUACAAAAACUAUGAGAAAAUGACAAUGGCGACAAAAAGCCGCUCAUUGUAGAGACAAAAGGAAACCUUUAUUAACCAGUAUAAAGAAGAGGAACUUUGCAGAGGGAGUCUGAAUGAACUGAAAAACAGACGGAGGGGAAACUGCAGACUGCAAAUGCAUGAUCAUGGACACAGAGAGCUUCUGCUGCCUGAAGUUUGUUACAACACAACUCCAGGAUUUUUCUAAAUCAAAGGAUGCCGGCACUUCACACUUGCUCUCUGGUUGAUGGAGCUGUUACACACUUCAGUGAUAUUUGAACCAGCGAUCCCCACCCUGUGGAGCUGAACUUUACACCACCCAGCCAUUAAUCUCAACAUCAUUUGGAAAUUCCUAAGCCAGUCUUCAUGUACUCGUAAACCACGUAGCUAAUGCUGACAGCGGGA